rnacentral:rRNA from 1 species
AUGAUUAAGCUUGCAGUCCUCAUCCGAGGAACUGCACUGCUCCUUUGCCUAUUGAUCUUCCAACCAGCAUCCGCUUCCCAUGGUCAAGCGACUGCAUCAGGAGCCUGCAUCAGCGGCGAGCGAGAUGCGCUUCUGUCCGUCAAGGCAAGCGUCCUGGAUCCUGAUGGUCGUCUGUCAUCAUGGCAGGGCGACGACUGUUGUCGAUGGAGGGGAGUCCGUUGUAGCAACAGAACUGGCCAUAUCAUCAAGCUCAAGCUCCGCAAGUCCGGCAAGCACGCCAUGUACGACAUAGCCUACAGGUCAGUAGGAUUCGGUGGGGGAAUACCUUCCCAACUUGGCAAUCUCUCAAAGUUGCAAUAUCUAGAUGUCAGUGGGAAUUCUUUUCAUUCGGAUAGUUACUCAGUGAAUUUUGCAUGGUUGCCACGUCUCUCUUCUUUGGUCCAUCUCGACAUGAGCUUUGUUGAUCUUAGUUCUGCCGAGGAUUGGCUUCAGACGGUGAACAUGCUUCCUUCUCUUAAAGUGCUUCGCUUGAGCUUCUGUGAACUCAAUCUUCCCGUAUCUGCUAGCAUGUCACUGUCCAACCUCACACAUGUCGAGAUACUUGAUUUGUCUUAUAACAAAUUCUAUACUAAUUCACUCAAGCGCGCAUGGUUUUGGAAUCUCAUAAGCCUCAAGGAGCUUUACCUCCAAGAUUCCGGCUUGGAAGGGGCCAUUCCUAGUAACUUGGCAAACAUGACGUCCCUUCAAGUCAUAGACUUCAGCGGGAACAACCUUGUGGGUCUGAUACCAAACAAAUUAGAUAAUCUGUGCAAUUUGACAAUAAUGAGGUUUAGCGGUAUCAACACUGGUUCGAGCAUAGGGGAGUUCAUGGAGCGAUUGCCAAAGUGUGCAUGGCAUACAUUGCAAGAAUUGUCAGUGCAGGGUGCAAAUAUGACCGGGAAUCUACCCAUUUGGAUUGGGAACUUGACAGGUCUCGCCGUUCUUCAAGCAUCUCAAAACAUGUUAACUGGCCCUCUACCUGUAGGAGUUGGAGCACUCCGUAAUUUAAAAAUGUUGGACCUCAGUUAUAAUAAAUUUAGCAGUGUGCUCACAGAGGAGCAUUUUGCGGGCCUACUGAAUUUAGAGUAUCUGGACUUGUCAUACAACUCUUUGAGAUUAGCUAUCAAACACAAAUGGGUUCCUCCAUUUAGAUUGAAGGUUGCAGGUUUCGGUUCAUGCCAACUGGGCCCCAGUUUUCCAGAGUGGCUUAGAUGGCAAUCUGACAUUGAUGUUCUUGUUCUCAGUAAUGCAAAUCUAGAUGAUGUUAUUCCUGAUUGGUUUUGGGUGACAUUUUCCCGAGCUUCAUUCUUGCAAGCAUCAGGAAACAAAUUGCAUGGCUCAUUACCGGGAGAUCUACAACACAUAUCAGCUGACCACAUAUAUCUUGGGUCCAAUAAGUUUACGGGCCAAGUACCACAUUUACCUAUAAAUAUAUCAAGACUAAACCUAUCUUCAAACUCUUUCACUGGGUCAUUGCCAUCAGAGCUGAAUGCCCCACUACUCGGAGAGUUGUUGCUUGCAAAUAAUCAACUUACAGGCACCAUCCCGUCAUCUAUAUGCCAAUUGACUAAACUGAAUAGGUUGGACCUAUCAGGAAACCAUUUAACAGGAGAUAUUAUGCAGUGUUGGAAGGAAUCUGAUGCAAACUCUACGAAUCAAUUUGGUUUUGACAUGCUAAGCUUAGCCCUGAAUAACAACGGUCUCACUGGUGAAUUCCCUAAAUUUCUUCAAAGGUCGUCAAGGUUAAUGUUCCUUGAUCUUUCUUACAAUUGGUUAUUUGGAGGAUUGCCUGAAUGGUUGCCAGAAAAAAUGCCACAUCUGAAAAUAUUAAGAGUGCGAUCAAAUAUGUUCAGCGGCCAUAUUCCUAAGAAUCUCACUUCCCUGGACAGUCUUCAUUAUUUGGACAUAGCACACAACAAGAUAACAGGAAGCAUACCAUGGUCUUUGUCAAACCUGAAGGCAAUGAUGACAGUGGUGUCGCAGGACACGGAGUAUUACAAUUUUGAAGAGAGCAUCCCAGUAUACACAAAGGACCAAAAGCGUAACUAUACCUUUGUAAUCUACAAAUUGCUAGUGAUUCUUGAUUUGUCAAGUAAUAUUUUGACAGGACAUGUUCCGGAGGAGACAACUCUACUCAUUGGGCUUAACAAUCUGAACUUGUCAAAUAAUCAACUCACAGGAGCAAUCCCAGACCAAAUUGGUGAUUUAAGGCAGUUGGACUCACUCGACCUAUCCUUCAAUGAGUUUUCUGGUGCAAUACCAUCAAGUUUGUCAGCUUUAACUUAUUUGAGCCACUUGAACUUGUCAUACAACAAUCUGUCCGGUGCAAUACCACCCGGACAACAGCUACAAACUCUUGGCAACCAGAUGUACAUCUACAUCGGUAACCCUGGUCUUUGUGGAGAUCCGGUUGGCAGGAACUGCUCAACACAUCAUGCAGAGCAAAGUGGCCUUGAAGAUCUAGAGCAUAUGCCAUCUGUCUAUCUUGCCAUGAGCAUUGGAUUUGUGGUGGGUCUGUGGACAGUUUUCUGCACCAUGUUGAUGAAGAGAACAUGGAGGGCUGCCUUCUUCCAGUUUGUUGAUAUGAUGUAUGACAUGGUUUAUGUGCAAGUGGCUAUAAGGUGGGCUCACAUGAUGGAGAAAACUCAAGACGCUUCCAUUGAGCUGACAUUUCUUUAUUUUGGUGAGGCAAACUGUACCGACUCGACUAUGCCUGUGCUUGCCAGUGAAGUGAGAAGCUCGAGUCCGACCAGUCCAAGCACUCGGAGGAGGGUGACUCUGGAGCCCUUUGAGUGCGACCACGCAUGCAUCUUUGGUGGUUAUAGAAUGCCCAAAAGUAAACUGUAUGACGCGAUCAUGCCAACCUUCGGUGUUUGCAAGCAAGCUGACCAGUUAAAUCCCAUGGAGCCUUUUGAGCGUGACCACACCUGCACCGUUGGUCGUUACAGAAUGCCCCAGAAGCAAUAG